rnacentral:rRNA from 1 species
CCCUUAGAUGUUCUGGGCCACACGCGCGUUACACUGAUGAAGCCAGCGAGUAUAUCGCCUUCACCGGAAGGUGCGGGUAAUCUUGUGAAACUUCAUCGUGCCGGGGAUAGACCAUUGCAAUUAUUGGUCUUGAACGAGGAAUUCCUAGUAAGCAUGAGUCAUCAACUCGUGCUGAUUACGUCCCUGCCCUUUGUACACACCGCCCGUCGCUACUACCGAUUGAAUGGUUUAGUGAGAUCUCGGGAUUGGAGACGUUGCGCCGCAAGGCACAUCGUCCUCGAGAACUUGAUCAAACUUGAUCAUUUAGAGGAAGUAAAAGUCGUAACA